rnacentral:rRNA from 1 species
AAUAGAUACCCGGGUAGUCCACGCCGUAAACGUUGGAUACUAGGUGUGGCGGUUAUACCAAUGACUGCCGUGCCGAAGCUAACGCAUUAAGUAUCCCGCCUGGGGAGUACGGCCGCAAGGCUAAAACUCAAAGGAAUUGACGGGUCCCCGCACAAGCGGCGGAGCAUGCGGCUUAAUUCGAUGCAACCCGAAGAACCUUACCUGGGUUUGACAUCACGGGAAAAGCUGUAGAAAUACAGUGUCCAUUAGGGCCCGUGACAGGUGGUGCAUGGCUGUCGUCAGCUCGCGUCGUGAGAUGUCGCGUUAAGUCGCUUAACGAGCGAAACCCUUGUCCUUAGUUGCCAGCGGGUCAUGCCGGGGACUCUAAGGAGACUGCCGGUGUUAAACCGGAGGAAGGUGGGGAUGACGUCAAGUCCUCAUGGCCUUUAUGACUAGGGCUGCACACGUCCUACAAUGGCGCGCACAAAGGGAAGCAAACUCGCGAGAGCCAGCAAAAUCCCAAAAAAACGCGCCUCAGUUCGGAUUGCGGGCUGCAACUCGCCCGCA